rnacentral:rRNA from 1 species
UACGAAGGGGGCUAGCGUUGUUCGGAAUUACUGGGCGUAAAGCGCGCGUAGGCGGACCUGCAAGUCGGAGGUGAAAGCCCGAGGCUCAACCUCGGAACUGCCUUCGAUACUGCGGGUCUCGAGUCCGGGAGAGGUGAGUGGAAUUCCUAGUGUAGAGGUGAAAUUCGUAGAUAUUAGGAAGAACACCAGUGGCGAAGGCGGCUCACUGGCCCGGUACUGACGCUGAGGCGCGAAAGCGUGGGGAGCAAACAGG